AUUGAACGCUGGCGGCAUGCCUUACACAUGCAAGUCGAACGGUAACAGGUCUUCGGAUGCUGACGAGUGGCGAACGGGUGAGUAAUACAUCGGAACGUGCCUAGUAGUGGGGGAUAACUACUCGAAAGAGUGGCUAAUACCGCAUGAGAUCUACGGAUGAAAGCAGGGGAUCGCAAGACCUUGUGCUACUAGAGCGGCCGAUGGCAGAUUAGGUAGUUGGUGGGAUAAAAGCUUACCAAGCCGACGAUCUGUAGCUGGUCUGAGAGGACGAUCAGCCACACUGGGACUGAGACAAGGCCCAGACUCCUACGGGAGGCAGCAGUGGGGAAUUUUGGACAAUGGGCGCAAGCCUGAUCCAGCAGUGCCGCGUGCAGGAUGAAGGCCUUCGGGUUGUAAACUGCUUUUGUACGGAACGAAAAGCCCUGGGUUAAUACCCUGGGGUCAUGACGGUACCGUAAGAAUAAGCACCGGCUAACUACGUGCCAGCAGCCGCGGUAAGAC
rnacentral:rRNA from 1 species